rnacentral:lncRNA from 1 species
AUGUGCACUUCGACCACCAUGAGAGGUAAAUCAGUUAAAUGAACGUUGUGGGUGUGUUCCCUAUAUAACCCUCACGAGACCUACUCGUCCUCCCGAGCUAUCGGUAGGUUUAAAAGGGCUUGUUGCAUACGCUAAAUGCAACCGUGAUUCCUACGAAAGUGAGUUAGGCUUGUUAUUGUUAUAAAUUAUUUUCCACAUAAAUCAAAGUAAAAUAAAGUAUGACUUGGUAAUAAUUUCAUAAAAGUGGUAGAACUAGGUAACUAACAAAUUUUGAUGGUUGUGAGAAGCAUGCUUCUACACAAGGGUUAAAAUUUGUAGGUACAUUAUGUUCACGAGACAACCGCUUUCUUGAAGAGAUGAAGAGCACAUGAGCCACUAGCGAGAAAAUCAGGUGCAUACGUUUCUUUUUACCUUUGAUUUUUUUUUAGUUAGCAAAUAAGUGGAUUGUAAAUUGUAUUUUAUUUUCCGGGUUGAAAUUUUGGGGAGGUUAGCCGUGUCACGUCCCUUGUGCGUUUUAAAAACUCUAGUUCUCACACAUUGAGGACAAUGUUCGCCUCAAGUGUGGGGAUGGGGGAGUUAGUAAAAGUUUUCGAUUUUUGACCCGUUCAUUUAAACACUACACAUUGAGGACAAUGUUUACCUCAAGUGUGGGGAUGGGGGAAAAAUUUCAAAAAAUUUUCAAAAAUGUCUUUGUUUGAAGCAAUCUAAAAAGCAAAAAUAACUAAGUUAACGAGGGAUGACACAACCCAUUUGGUCUUUUGUCAUGGUCAAGUUCAAGUUAAUAGCAUGACGGGUAUUUAGCGGGUGGUUAUUUGGGAAUAAUCCGCCUAAGAAACUAGCACAUCAUGCAUGUCACAUACCAUACCCUUUAUAUAUGUGAGGUUUUGAGACACUUUUACAUAAUAGAAUUACAUAUAUAUAUGUUUCUUUGUUUGAGUGGACCAUUAGUCAUGUAUUGUAGAACUUGCAUCUUUUGAUACGUUUGAGACCAUAGACCGAAUACAAGCACGAGAAUGAUUAAGGCAUUAGGUAAACCUUUUCUUUUAAAACCAUUUAUCCAUCCUUACCCAAAUAAAUCCCCUAGUCGCCCACUUUGAGCCUAAACCUUUCGUUUGACCAACCCAUUUAGCCCAUAACCGUUAAACCUUUUAUUUUUAACCCGUGUGGUGAAAAUUCGAUUUUAGGUUUCUUUGUUUGUAUAGUGUGGUUUGCA